UUUCGCAAUGCCCGAAAGGGUGACGAAGCGACGCCGCGUGGGUGAGGAAGGCCCUCGGGUUGUAAAGCCCUGUCAGGAGUUAAGAAAUGUAGACUCGCUAAUAUCGGGUCUAUUUGACAAAGGCUCCAAAGGAAGCCACGGCUAACUCUGUGCCAGCAGCCGCGGUAAUACAGAGGUGGCAAGCGUUGUUCGGAAUUAUUGGGCGUAAAGAGCACGUAGGUGGAUUUGUAAGUCAGAUGUGAAAGCCUUCUGUUCAACGGGAGAAUUGCAUCUGAAACUACAGACCUUGAGUAUAGGAGGGGAGAAUGGAACUUCUGGUGGAGCGGUGAAAUGCGUAGAUAUCGAGAGGAACGCCGGUGGCGAAAGCGACUCCCUGGCCUGUUACUGACGCUGAGUGUGCGAAAGCUAGGGGAGCAAACGGGAUUAGAUACCCCGGUAGUCCUAGCCGUAAACGAUGGGCACUAAGUAGAGGGGUUUUA
rnacentral:rRNA from 1 species